CAACUGCCUGUGUUUUGAGUGAAAGCCUUUGUUUGGAAAUAGUCGCUCAUUGCAGAGGUACUGUACCUACGCUGGCAGGCUGGUCGUUGUCAUAUUAAUGCUGUGUGGUUCGUUGUUUGCAGAGAGGCCUUGAGGACUGGAACACAGCAGAAUGAGGAAGAUGAACCAGGUUAGUGCCCCUGGCCAUGACAACCCGGCCAUGGAAAUGAAGAUGACUGAUGGAAUGGUCAACCAGGUGGACCUUCAGUACCUGAAUGAUGUGAUCGUAGAUGGAGCCGACCCCAACCCAACAGACAGGUUCGGACAAACUGUCUUGCUUAAGUCUUUACCAGUGAUCAAAUUACUCAAAUACCUUCUGUUGUGUCAGAUCGUUCUCAGGGAAGGCCUCCAGACAGUGUGUGUUCAACAGGGCUCUUUCUACCUAGUUGUAGAUCUCGAGGUUGUCGAAUGUGGGGCUGAUGUCCUGCGUCCUGACUCCUACGGGGUCACGCCCCUGCACAUUGCUGCAGCUCUUGACUAUGUGGAGAUGAUCCACUUCCCGUUGGAGAGGAAAGGUCAG
rnacentral:lncRNA from 13 species